AGAGUUUGAUCCUGGCUCAGAACGUACGCUGGCGGCACGCCUAACACAUGCAAGUCGAACGAAGUAGCAAUACUUAGUGGCAGACGGGUGAGUAACAUGUAGGUAUCUGCCCUUUGGCCUGGAAUAACACGAGGAAACUUGUGCUAAUACCGGAUAAGUCUUUACGGAGAAAGCUUUAUGCACCAUUGGAUGAGCCUGCACUUGAUUAGUUUGUUGGUGGGGUAAUGGCCUACCAAGACUGUGAUCAAUAGCUGAUUUGAGAGGAUGAUCAGCCACAUUGGGACUGAGACACGGCCCAAACUCCUACGGGAGGCAGCAGUGGGGAAUCUUGCACAAUGGAGGAAACUCUGAUGCAGCGAUGCCGCGUGAGUGAAGAAGGCCUUUGGGUUGUAAAGCUCUUUCGUCGGGGAAGAAAAUGACUGUACCCGAAUAAGAAGGUCCGGCUAACUUCGUGCCAGCAGCCGCGGUAAUACGAAGGGACCUAGCGUAGUUCGGAAUUACUGGGCUUAAAGAGUUCGUAGGUGGUUGAAAAAGUUGGUGGUGAAAUCCCAGAGCUUAACUCUGGAACUGCCAUCAAAACUUUUCAGCUAGAGUAUGAUAGAGGAAAGCAGAAUUUCUAGUGUAGAGGUGAAAUUCGUAGAUAUUAGAAAGAAUACCAAUUGCGAAGGCAGCUUUCUGGAUCAUUACUGACACUGAGGAACGAAAGCAUGGGUAGCGAAGAGGAUUAGAUACCCUCGUAGUCCAUGCCGUAAACGAUGUGUGUUAGACGUUGGAAAUUUAUUUUCAGUGUCGCAGGGAAACCGAUAAACACACCGCCUGGGGAGUACGACCGCAAGGUUAAAACUCAAAUGAAUUGACGGGGACCCGCACAAGUAGUGGAGCAUGUGGUUUAAUUCGAAGAUACGCGCAGAACCUUACCAACACUUGACAUGUUCGUCGCGACUCUAAGAGAUUAGAGUUUUCGGUUCGGCCGGACGAAACACAGGUGCUGCAUGGCUGUCGUCAGCUCGUGUCGUGAGAUGUUGGGUUAAGUCCCGCAACGAGCGCAACCCUCACUUUUAGUUGCCAUCAUUAAGUUGGGCACUCUGAAAGAACUGCCAGUGAUAAGCUGGAGGAAGGUGGGGAUGACGUCAAGUCCUCAUGGCCCUUACGUGUUGGGCUACACACGUGCUACAAUGGCAUCUACAACAGGAAGCAAAACGGCAACGUUGAGCAAAUCCCGAAAAGAUGCCUCAGUUCGGAUUGCACUCUGCAACUCGAGUGCAUGAAGCUGGAAUUACUAGUAAUCGUGGAUCAGCGUGCCACGGUGAAUGCGUUCCCGGGUCUUGUACACACCGCCCGUCACACCAUGGGAGUUGGUUCUACCUUAAGGCAAGGUUUUAAACCCUUGACCACGGUAUAGUCAGCGACUGGGGUGAAGUCGUAACAAGGUAACC
rnacentral:rRNA from 2 species